ACAGCUUGAAAGCUAUAUUGGAAGGCUCUCCUUAUUCCACUUAAGGAAGCAUCAGCACUCAUUGAGCAGAGAUGACUUUACAAUUUUGUAAAGGGGCCAGAGAGCAGCUUGAACUCACAGCACCACCCAUGCCUGCAGGAGCUCCUCUAAGUUUCACUCCCAUCACACCCUGACUACAGUACAGGAUCCAAAGGGUAAACUUCUAAUAUGGAAGCCGAAGGAGACAGAACAAAGACCAAAGGAUCCCAUGAUGGCGAUGCACACACUGUAUGGGUAAAGCACAUCACAGAUGGGCUUUUCACCAACAGCAGAACCACAUCCUACUUAUUAUACUCAGAACUCCCUGCUCUAUUCUACAAUGGUUUACUGCCUACCAUCAUCCUGCCUUAGGCUAUUGUGAAACCAACUGCUGUCUGAAAACGCACAGCAGUUUUCUAGGUGGUAUUUCCUUUCAAGAUUAAGAGUUUAAAUAUUAUCUAAUCCAUAAAUGCUGUAGACUUACACAUAUUUAUACAGAAUGGUAAAUGCAUGGAUUUAAGUAAAGUUACCUUAUAUUGAACCUUGACACAAAUGCUCAUUACUCAAACUUACUACUUGAGAGUAAAGGCAAAUCACCAUACUAGGUAUAGAUUUAAGAAAUACUU